UACGAAGGGGGCUAGCGUUGCUCGGAAUGACUGGGCGUAAAGGGCGCGUAGGCGGUUUGCACAGUCAGAUGUGAAAUUCCUGGGCUCAACCUGGGGGCUGCAUUUGAUACUUGUAGACUUGAGUGGGGAAGAGGGUCGUGGAAUUCCCAGUGUAGAGGUGAAAUUCGUAGAUAUUGGGAAGAACACCGGUGGCGAAGGCGGCGACCUGGUCCUUGACUGACGCUGAGGCGCGAAAGCGUGGGGAGCAAACAGG
rnacentral:rRNA from 1 species